rnacentral:rRNA from 1 species
GACAGAGGUGCCGAGCGUUAGGCGGAAUCACUGGGCUUAAAGCGUGUGUAGGCGGAUCUGUAAGUACCUUGUGAAAUCCCACGGCUCAACCGUGGAACUGCUUGGUAUACUGCGGGUCUUGAGCCACCUAGGGGCAAGUGGAACAAGCGGUGGAGCGGUGAAAUGCGUAGAGAUGCGGAGGAACACCGAUGGCGAAGGCAGCCCCCUGGGCUAGCACUGACGCUCAGGCACGAAAGCGUGGGGAGCAAACAGG